rnacentral:lncRNA from 1 species
CACACUCAAACAAAUUAAUACAAGCAUACACUCAGCUAUUCUAUUUUCUUCCCUUCUCGAUCACGGAGGAAUAACUCGCUCACACAGAGCUACUGAGGCUGCAGUGCCUCUCACUCUUGAAGUUCACCGUUGCACCUGGUGACUUCCUAUUCCGAAGCGCUCACUGCUGGAGGCUUUCCCUGAAGCUCACAUACGUGUGGCUUCCUUGCUGGCCUGAAGUUCUCUGCAUGCGUGUGGCGUGAGGCCCUCUCCCUGGCCUCCCUACUCUGCCUGCGGUGGCUUGAGGCUGUUAAGCCUCUCUUCGAGGCCUUUCGGCCUGCUCCUUCACCUUGAGGCCUUUUGGCCUU